rnacentral:snoRNA from 1 species
AUCUUUUUUUUGGUUCAUAAGCGUGAUGAUUGGGAAUUCACUCCACUGCAUGAUGUGUGCUGCCCAUUAAACCUUGUUACAAGGUGGGCACAUUAUCCAUUAAAAA